CCUUAUUCUAAGGCGCUUGAGAGAACUCAGGAGAAGGAACUCGGCAAAUUGACACCGUAACUUCGGAAGAAGGUGUGCCUUUAGUAGGUGAACCUGUACAAGGGGAGCCCAAUGAGGUUGCAAAAAAUCGGUGGCUGCGACUGUUUAAUAAAAACACAGCACUCUGCAAACACGAAAGUGGACGUAUAGGGUGUGACGCCUGCCCGGUGCUGGAAGAUUAAAUGAUGGGGUGCAAGCUCUUGAUUGAAGUCCCAGUAAACGGCGGCCGUAACAAUAACGGUCCUAAGGUAGCGAAAUUCCUUGUCGGGUAAGUUCCGACCUGCACGAAUGGCGUAACGAUGGCCACACUGUCUCCUCCUGAGACUCAGCGAAGUUGAAAUGUUUGUGAUGAUGCAAUCUCCCCGCGGAAAGAAAAGACCCCAUGAACCUUUACUGUAGCUUUGUAUUGGACUUUGAACAGAUCUGUGUAGGAUAGGUGGGAGGCUUUGAAGUGUGGUCGCUAGAUCGCAUGGAGCCAACGUUGAAAUACCACCCUGGUGUGUUUGAGGUUCUAACCUAGGCCCGUAAUCCGGGUCGGGGACAGUGCAUGGUAGGCAGUUUGACUGGGGCGGUCUCCUCCCAAAGCGUAACGGAGGAGUUCGAAGGUACGCUAGGUACGGUCGGACAUCGUGCUAAUAGUGCAAUGGCAUAAGCGUGCUUAACUGCGAGACUGACAAGUCGAGCAGAUGCGAAAGCAGGACAUAGUGAUCCGGUGGUUCUGUAUGGAAGGGCCAUCGCUCAACGGAUAAAAGGUACUCUGGGGAUAACAGGCUGAUACCGCCCAAGAGUUCAUAUCGACGGCGGUGUUUGGCACCUCGAUGUCGGCUCAUCUCAUCCUGGGGCUGUAGCCGGUCCCAAGGGUAUGGCUGUUCGCCAUUUAAAGAGGUACGUGAGCUGGGUUUAAAACGUCGUGAGACAGUUUGGUCCCUAUCUUCCGUGGGCGCUGCAGAUUUGAGGAAGCCUGCUCCUAGUACGAGAGGACCGGAGUGGACACACCUCUGGUGUAUCGGUUGUCACGCCAGUGGCAUUGCCGAGUAGCUAUGUGUGGAAGAGAUAACCGCUGAAAGCAUCUAAGCGGGAAACUCGUUUCAAGAUGAGAUCUGCCGGGGCCUUGAGCCCCCUAAAGAGUCGUUCAAGACCAGGACGUUGAUAGGUCGGGUGUGGAAGCGCAGUAAUGCGUUAAGCUAACCGAUACUAAUUGCUCGUGCGGCUUGAUCAA
rnacentral:rRNA from 1 species